GACGAACGCUGGCGGCGUGCUUAACACAUGCAAGUCGUACGGUAAGGCCCUUUCGGGGGUACACGAGUGGCGAACGGGUGAGUAACACGUGAGUAACCUGCUCACAACUUUGGGAUAACGCUAGGAAACUGGUGCUAAUACUGGAUAUGUGCUCCUGCUGCAUGGUGGGGGUUGGAAAGCUCCGGCGGUUGUGGAUGGACUCGCGGCCUAUCAGCUUGUUGGUGGGGUAGUGGCCUACCAAGGCGGCGACGGGUAGCCGGCCUGAGAGGGUGACCGGCCACAUUGGGACUGAGAUACGGCCCAGACUCCUACGGGAGGCAGCAGUGGGGAAUAUUGCACAAUGGGCGCAAGCCUGAUGCAGCAACGCCGCGGGCGGGAUGACGGCCUUCGGGUUGUAAACCGCUUUCAGCAGGGACGAAGCUUUUUGUGACGGUACCUGCAGAAGAAGCACCGGCUAACUACGUG
rnacentral:rRNA from 1 species